GUGGGGAAUAUUGCGCAAUGGGCGAAAGCCUGACGCAGCGACGCCGCGUGGAGGAUGAAGGGUUUAGGCUCGUAAACUCCUGUUAAGUGGGAAGAAAAGCUCGGAUUUAAUACAUCCGAGAAAUGACGGUACCAUUAGAGAAAGCACCGGCUAACUUCGUGCCAGCAGCCGCGGUAAUACGAGGGGUGCUAGCGUUAUUCGGAAUUACUGGGCGUAAAGGGUGUGUAGACGGUUUUUUAAGUCUGUUGUUAAAUCUCCCGGCCUAACCGGGAAUCUGCAGCGGAUACUGGGAGACUUGAGGAUGAGAGAGAGAAGUGGAAUUCUUGGAGUAGCGGUAAAAUGCGUAGAUCUCAAGAGGAACACCGAUGGCGAAGGCAGCUUCUUGGCUCAUUCCUGACGUUGAGACACGAAAGCGUGGGGAGCAAACAGG
rnacentral:rRNA from 1 species